CUGCAGCAGCCUUAACGGAACCAAGGGGUUAGCGCCGACACGCUCCUGUGUAGCUUCCGCCGGCUUCAACACCGCCAACGAGGUCACGCCGCUCUUUGUCGCUGGCGGAAAAAGAGGACGUAGAAGAGAAACGUGCGUCAGUCCAUAUACAUUUCAACGAUGGUUGCUGAAACCAUACGCUGUGUCCAUGAUACAUACCACAACACUUUCAUCAUUAUUACAGUUUCAGGUAACUAAAGGAAAUGGAUGACUGCACCGCAGAGAUGCGACCUGUGUCACCUUGUACUUUGGCAAUGAUCUUUGUCAAAGUUAUUCUCUUUGCAAUGAGUCGUACGAUGUAAAAGACCAUUUCACGGAUGGCACGUUCUACUGGUGAUCCUCUGUCCUCUGCCGACGAUGAACAAAAGCGCCAAAGUAGCUGGUUUUAUGCUUUGUUAUUUCAGUUAUCUGCUUAUCUGAGCAGAAGGGCAGCAACACGACGUGGCAUGGAUUCGACUAACGUCUAGUGCCGGAGGGAACUUACACCGUGAAUCCUGCAGGGCUGUCCAUUAAUCCGUAAGAGCACGAAGGGGUGGAUACCUCUUCUGGACAGCACGUUGAAAGAAAAGGCCACAGUUAAUAGAUUUCCGCGGUUGAAGCUCUCGGUUCGUAAUCUCAAGAUCUUUCAUGUGUCCGGCUCCAGUAGACACUGAAAAUACCUGUAAAUAACAGAAAGAAAAAGAUUGCUUCCACAGUCGAUUUCUAGGGGCUGGGGAACAACGCUGGAGCAUCUGAUUUUCUGUCUUCUUCUCUUUCUUCUUCUCCUUCUUCUUUUCCUUUAGCGUUUCCCAUUUCUCCAUGGUGACGACAUUCUUAUACUGGUUGAAGCAGUAUUAGUGACCGAGGCCGCAUGCCCUUCGUGACGCGACCUGGAGCAUCUGAUAAUGGUGAAAAAUUAUAGGUACAUGCGUCAUUGGUUUAUAUCAGCAAUAGUGCCAAUGAUUUAGGUGAACAUUUCACUGACGUUGUCUAAUUUUGUCAUUGUACUGAGACUCGAAAUGCAAUGAACGGUGAGAAGAUAAGAAUCACGAUAGAAUACCCCAAAAACACAGUCUACUGCUCACUCUCUAUAAAAUAAUGGAACCAAGUAAGAGACUAAAAGUACUUGAAAGUCAGUGGAACAUAAUCUGCUGAUUAGGAAGAAGUAUUCCCAACGUUCCCAUUCAGUGACUAAAUCUUAUUUGUCACUACAAUCAGUAGAAGCUAACUACAGUAGUAAAACCGACAUCUUACCUUUCAGAAGGCACGCUUGCUUUAGCAGACGCCACAUUCUACUUAUCUGUUUCAUUGAAUAGUCAUUACCUAUAUUUGCAAUCAAUUAAUUAUAUAUAUUAAGACUUGCUUCUUCUUUCACUGGAGCGCUUAACACCAGUUGCAGUGUACGUUUUAUUGACAGAAAGUGCAGAACAACGAGAAUAUCUAUGACACCCGAGAAUCAUCUGCAAAUCGAUGUUCUUCUCACCGCACUCUGUACAAAGACUUUGUGCAGUUAAGUGCAAAACUAUAGGAGCUAAUGUCUGCUGGGACACAGCUCUGAGUGUCAAUGAUUUUGUCUGCAUCUGAAUCGUUUUUUUAUGUGCGUCAUGUAGCUCUUCGGGUAGAUAUGGAUCUCAUGCGUGUUGUCAUUACAAAUCUCGAAACUAUUAUGUAUCGUACCUGUUCAGUUAACAUAAAAUCGGUGACCGUAAAAGUUAACAGGCAGCACGCAGCCUUCCGGGCGUAUGUGAAGCGUCUCGGACGGGGCGUAAUUUUGUGACGGAAGGAUUAUUAUCUAGAAGACAGUCAGACGUCCUCUGAGAGACUUACAGAAGGCAGCAGUCGUUUUACUAUCGACGUUGAGGUGACUAGAUACCGAGAACAAGCUCCAUUGGACAAAGAGGGGACAGAGAAUGGGUGGUAGUAUUUUUAAGGAAUCAAUAUGACACCCGUCUAUAGUAAUUAUGAGGAAAAUGUCGACUCGCAAAAUGAGGAUUACUAUACGGGAAUCAGUGUUCAGAGAAUAGAUUUCUAAUAAAAUAUAGUUACGAGAAAAUUUCCUCCAAGGAGGAAAUAUCUCUAACUUUCUUGCUUUAGCAACGCUGAGAAAAAGUCAGUGAUUGGCUCCAUUUAGCAUUUAUAAUUACAAUACUCUAAGUGCUAUUACAUUUCUAACAUUUACCUUUAGUGUCAACGACUUUUGUACGUCUAUAUGUUCGAAAAAUA
rnacentral:lncRNA from 1 species